rnacentral:rRNA from 1 species
UACGAAGGGGGCUAGCGUUGUUCGGAAUUACUGGGCGUAAAGCGCGCGCAGGCGGUCUUCCAAGUCAGUGGUGAAAGCCCGGAGCUCAACUCCGGAACUGCCAUUGAAACUGUUAGACUUGAGGACGAGAGAGGUGAGUGGAAUUCCCAGUGUAGAGGUGAAAUUCGUAGAUAUUGGGAAGAACACCGGUGGCGAAGGCGGGUCUCUGGGCCGAUACUGACGCUGAGGAGCGAAAGCGUGGGGAGCGAACAGG